rnacentral:misc_RNA from 1 species
CCCUUUGUGAACACAUCUUGUUGCUUCGGGGGCGACCCUGCCGUUUCGACGGCAUUCCCCCCGGAGGUCAUCAAAACACUGCAUUCUUACGUCGGAGUAUAAAGUUAAUUUAAUAAAACUUUCAACAACGGAUCUCUUGGUUCUGGCAUCGAUGAAGAACGCAGCGAAAUGCGAUAAGUAAUGUGAAUUGCAGAAUUCAGUGAAUCAUCGAAUCUUUGAACGCACAUUGCGCCCCCUGGUAUUCCGGGGGGCAUGCCUGUUCGAGCGUCAUUUCACCACUCAAGCCUCGCUUGGUAUUGGGCGUCGCGAGUCUCUCGCGCGCCUCAAAGUCUCCGGCUAGGCGGUUCGUCUCCCAGCGUUGUGGCAACUAUUCGCAGAGGAGUUCGAGUCGUCGAGGCCGUUAAAUCUUUCAAAGG